rnacentral:lncRNA from 1 species
GAUCUUGAUGUACCCUAUCUAAUUCUUAUCACUUAUUCAAAAUAUAUUAUCUCAUCAAAAUGUAAUUAUCUUUAUAAAAAAAAUUUUAUAUAUUUUAAAAUCUUAAAUAAAGCCUUUUAGAAAAUAGAAACCUUUUACAGUCUUUAUAAAAAAAUAAAAAUAAAAUUUUAAUUUGUCAUUAGGUUUUCUUCACACUAAAAUCUUUUUCAUUUGUGUUGUAGACAAAAUUUAUAAAAACAUAAUGACAAAUGGGAGAUCUUCAAAUAUAACUAAUUUGAAGGAUUUAUACAUAUGUACUCCUACUUUACAUCAAUUUAAGAUCAAAAAAUAUGUUUUUGUAAGCUGACGAGGGUUUGUCUAAUGCUAUCAUGGAUGGUUGUUUUGGUUCCGGCCCCAUAAACGACAAUGACAGUGAUAACGACAACAACCAUGCAACAAAACCAAGCUCCGAUGUCAGCAUUGCACAAGCUUGGGCAUAGGCGC